rnacentral:rRNA from 1 species
UACGUAGGUGGCAAGCGUUGUCCGGAAUUAUUGGGCGUAAAGCGCGCGCAGGCGGUCUUUUAAGUCUGAUGUGAAAGCCCCCGGCUCAACCGGGGAGGGUCAUUGGAAACUGGGAGACUUGAGUACAGAAGAGGAGAGUGGAAUUCCACGUGUAGCGGUGAAAUGCGUAGAUAUGUGGAGGAACACCAGUGGCGAAGGCGACUCUCUGGUCUGUAACUGACGCUGAGGCGCGAAAGCGUGGGGAGCAAACAGGAUUAGAUACCCCGUAGUCC